rnacentral:pre_miRNA from 1 species
AAACCGUCCCCUAAGUUUUGCAACUGUAGCAGUUUUGGCCACCAAGGCCAAUUUUUGGUAAAAUAAAAAUUAACACGUGACACCUCAUUUAGGGUGCCACGUCAGCGUAGACCGAGUCAAAAUUGACUUUGGGGGCCAAAACUGCCACAAAUGCAAAACUUAGGGGGCGGUUU